rnacentral:sRNA from 1 species
UAAGAAGGGUUACAGACUAAGACCGCCACGUCGUGUGGCAACGUCUGUAUGACCUACAUCCUGUAGG